rnacentral:tRNA from 1 species
GGAACUGUGCCCGAAUGCCC